GUCUCUGUAGUAUAACUAAUACCUUGGUCUUGUAAACCAAUAAUGGGGACCCUAAACCCCCUGAGACA
rnacentral:tRNA from 1 species